CUGGAUGUUGUUAUUUGAGUCUGUGUAUCAAAAUGAAACUGAAGCCAGUUCAAUCCUUGGACAAUAACCUAGAGUGAUUUAUUCAGGUCUUUCUCUGAAAAACAAAUAAACAAAAAAUGAAUGCUCACCUAACAUCUGCAAAGCUAAAUAUGCUGACGAGCUCCCUCCAAGAAUGAUAGACUCUUGCAAAGGCAAAUUUCAUUCUUCAAACCAGAUGGCAGAAACUUACUUACCACUCUAAAAAUGGUAGCUCUUUUGAGCUUAAGAAAAUCUUAAAACAGAGCCUCCAGGAGGGAUUAUAUAAGGAGAGUUUUCAUAGGGUAUUUGACUAUAUUUUCUCAAAGAAUCUUCCUAACAAACAUUUUUGACAGGUUAUUACAGCUCCCAGAUUACAAAUGAAAACAUGGAGACCCUGUGAAAUUUAGAGCUAUGGACUAGAGACAAAAGCUCCAGACAGUAAUGGCCCGGGGCCUUUCCCCAGUGUAGACCGUGAUUUGGCUGCAUUAGUUAGACUGACUCUGGCUCUCCCUGUUGUUAUGAAUAGUUGUUACGAAAACAUAGACUCCAGAAGCUCUUAUGUCUGGCUCAGUCUGAGAACUUCACAUGGUAAAAAGAGGCUCUGCUGAGACAGCUCUUUUAACCUGAAGAAACCCCAAAUAGGCCGAUUUUGAAGACCCCAGGAACACGCUGACUCUGAGUUCUUGAGCUCAGGUAGGAGGGUAAAUCCAAUCCCUGUUACUCCAUCUUGGGAAGAAGUAGAAGUUCUGGAAGGGGCUUUUAACUGGAUGAAUAAUACAAGCAUUUUGGAGUUGUCCAAACUAUAUUGUAUCCAAGCUACCUUGAGGUUUUAUUUUAUAUCACCUGCCAUGAAAAGUAGAUAGACUUUGUCGUCGGAAAGAUCGAGAUUUGCAUCUUGAAUCUAGCAUCCAGUAGGUAUGUGAUCUUGGACAGCAACUGUAAUUUCCCUCAACUUCCAUUUUAUCUUUGAUAGAAGGAGAUGGAAAAAAUUGACUUUAAACCCAGAAAUCCAGGGGAUUCUACGAAGUACUGUUUUUUUUUUUUACACCAAAAUAUAAGCAGUAGGUAGGGGGAUGCUAAAAUAAGUGAGAGUGAAUCUAUAGUUUAUGGUUCCAUGAAACACCCCAAAAUAAUGGGGUAUAUCUAUGUGUAUUUUUUAGAAAAACUGUUAAUAAUGUACUGUUAGGUAAGUAAAGCAUUUUGCAGAAAAAUGUAUAUAGUAUGUGAAGUGUUUUUUAA
rnacentral:lncRNA from 1 species